CUAAUACAUGCAAGUCGAGCGAGCGGAACCAACAGAUUACUUCGGUAAUGACGUUGGGAGAGCGAGCGGCGGAUGGGUGAGUAACACGUGGGGAACCUGCCCCUAAGUCUGGGAUACCAUUUGGAAACAGGUGCUAAUACCGGAUAAUAAAGCAGAUCGCAUGAUCAGCUUUUGAAAGGCGGCGUAAGCUGUCGCUAAGGGAUGGCCCCGCGGUGCAUUAGCUAGUUGGUAAGGUAACGGCUUACCAAGGCGACGAUGCAUAGCCGAGUUGAGAGACUGAUCGGCCACAUUGGGACUGAGACACGGCCCAAACUCCUACGGGAGGCAGCAGUAGGGAAUCUUCCACAAUGGACGCAAGUCUGAUGGAGCAACGCCGCGUGAGUGAAGAAGGGUUUCGGAUCGUAAAGCUCUGUUGUUGGUGAAGAAGGAUAGAGGUAGUAACUGGCCUUUAUUUGACGGUAAUCAACCAGAAAGUCACGGCUAACUACGUGCCAGCAGCCGCGGUAAUACGUAGGUGGCAAGCGUUGUCCGGAUUUAUUGGGCGUAAAGCGAGCGCAGGCGGAAAAAUAAGUCUAAUGUGA
rnacentral:rRNA from 1 species